GGCUGGGGCUGGAAAUGACACCGAGAGGCUUCAGCCGCGUGCGGCGGGCUCCCGCGGCGCCGCGGGCACCGGGCUGCCUUUGCCUUGCCACCAUCUUACGGGGAGACUCGCGUGUCACGUUACGGUUGGGAUGCACCGGUGCCUCUCGCGUGCCUGCAGCCGAGCUGCAAGAGAGCCAUUUUGCAGCCCUCCGAGCGUGACAAGGAGCCGCCAGACCAGCGAAGGGGGAUUUGCAGACGAAUGGAUGGAUGGAUGCGAAUUAUCUUCAUUUUCCCCUUUCACCAAAGCCUUGUUCCUCCUGCCGUGUUUCCCCUCACUCCACCCUUCCACACACCCCCACCAAAAAAAAUCACAGGGGACUUUCCCCUGACUCACGGACACAAUAUGUAACUCAAAACAUCUCUCUUGCCAUCUCUUCAUUCUAUUUGAUAAGCCAAGAGGGAAUCAACAUGUCUGGUGAAUUUUUCCUUUCCUCCCCCCUCCCUUUUUUUUUCCCUGUAUCUGCUUCUAAAAGCAGCAUCUCUAAACCUUUUGUUCUACCGUGUGUAGUCUUUCCCGGGCAAACUCAUGUACGAAGAUGAGCUGCCACCAAAAACACAGAAACGGGAAUCUCCCUACCUUGGUUUGUAGAAGCAGAACCUCUAGACGGACAGAUCAAGGGAGAGAGCAUGUUGGGAAUGUCCAGUCUCCUCUUCUUCCUUGCAUAUCCACAUAAGAAGAACAAGGGUCGAGGGGCAAACGUGGAGGAGUGAGUUUAAAAAAAUCCUAUUUGUUUGUAAAAAAAAAUAGAGAAUUCUUUGUGGCAAUCUUGCGUCCUGAAGCAGUGCAAAUUCAAAAGCAGGAGAGAAUCACUUCAGAGGAUAUUCAGCGCAUGUGGUGAGGAUCGUCAAAUGCAGGUUCCAGAGACCGGUAGAGGAGGUCUGCAUCUCAGUUAUGUUGCUCCCUUAGCGACAACAU